CAAUAGCGUAUAUUAAAGUUGUUGCGGUAAAAAAGCUCGUAGUUGGAUUUCUACCGAAGAUAGCCGGUCGGGUCUUCGACCUUGUAUCUGGUUUUGUCUUUGGUAUCCUCAUAGGGAACGUUUCUGCGCUUUAUUGCGUGGUGCGGUAUCUAUGACUUUUACUUUGAGGAAAUUAGAGUGUUCACGGCAGGCAAACGCCUUGAAUAUAUUAGCAUGGAAUAAUAACAUAGGAUCUUCGUCCUAUUUUGUUGGUUGCUAGGGCUAAGAUAAUGAUUAAUAGGGAUAAUUGGGGGCAUCUGUAUCAACGCGUCAGAGGUGGAAUUCUUGGAUUGCGUUGCGACAAACUACUGCGAAAGCAUUUGCCAAGGAUGUUUUCAUUGA
rnacentral:rRNA from 1 species